rnacentral:rRNA from 1 species
AUUGAACGCUGGGGGCAGGCCUAACCCAUGCAAGUCGAGCGGAGCGGCGGACGGGUGAGUAAUGCCUAGGAAUCUGCAUGGUAGUGGGGGAUAACGUCCGGAAACGGGCGCUAAUACCGCAUACUAUCAGAUGAGCCUAGGUUGGAUUAGCUAGUUGGUGGGGUAAAGGCCUACCACGGCGACGAUCCGUACCUGGUCUGAGAGGAUGAUCAGUAACACUGGAACUGAGAGACGGACCAGACUCCGACGGUAGGCAGCAGUGGGGAAUAUUGGACAAUGGGCGAAAGCAUGAUCCAGCCAUGCCGCGUGUGUGAAGAAGUUCUUCGGAUUGUAAAGCACUUGAAGUUGGGAGGCGUUACCAACAGAAUAAGCACCGGCUAACUUCGUGCCAGCAGCCGCGGUAAUAC